UUGUAUUUAAAAAGCACAGCUAGCUCAGUUUUGUCCGUCAGCUGGUUGUCCAAACAAGGGAAUGAACACGGUCGUCCUUUUACAUCCACAAAAUACGAAUGUACAGCUGAGAAAAUGAAGAAAAACAAGGGAAAGGUGAACACCACAGAGAAGGAGUUUGUGUUUGGGUUCAGGGCAGGGAGGAAUGACUGUGUCCUCAAAGUACCUCUGCAAUUCCCUGUCCAAGAAAAUGUCAGUGACCUUCAUGGACGACUUAUGCUGCUGCACAAAAUACCUUGCUUUGUUGAGAAUGAACUGAGGAGCACACUGUCCAUGUUUAUUGAGAGCGAAACCAUCCAGGACUAUGACCGAGAAGCAGAGUUGGCCCUACAGAGACUGACAACAGGAGAGGUGGACAUCAACCAGCUUACAAACACAUGGGCCAAGACCUACUCAGAGACUACACUGGAACAUGCUCGUCCUGAGGAGCCCAGCUGGGAUGAGGACUUUGCAGAUGUUUACCACGAGCUCAUCCACUCCCCGGCCUCUGACACUCUGCUCAACCUGGAACACAACUACUUUGUCAGUGUCUCGGAGCUCAUCAGUGAGAGAGACAUGGAGCUGAAGAAGUUACAAGAGAGGCAGGCAACAGAGAUGGACAAAGUCAUGCAAGAACUGGGAAAGACCAUGACUGACCAGGAUGUAAAUGCAGUUGCAUCUCAACACUUCGAUGCCCAGCAGGUGCUGGAGAACAAGUGGGCCAAUGAACUGAAACAGGUGACUCAUAUUCAGAAGCAGGAGUAUCAGGAGUGGGUGAUCAAACUGCACCAGGACAUGCAGAACCCCAAUAACAGCACUAUUAAUGAGGAGAUCAAGGUGCAGCAGAGCCAGCUGACAGAGGAGUCUGAGCCUGGGGUCAGGCUGUAUGAGGAGCAGCGACAGCUGGAGGAGAGCUUCACCAUCCACUUAGGUGCACAGCUGAAGACAAUGCACAACCUGCGACUGGUGCGGGCGGACAUACUGGACUUCUGUAAGCACCGUCGCCAUGGCAGCAGAGGGACCAAGCUGAGGCGGCUGCAGACUGCUCUGUCCCUCUACUCCUCGUCCCUGUGUGGCCUGGUAUUGCUGGUGGACAACAGGGUCAACUCCUACAGUGGCAUCAAGAGAGACUUUGCCACAGUAUCUAAAGAGUGUACAGACUUCCACUUCCCUCGCCUGGAGGAGCAGCUGGAGGUUGUCCAGCAAGUGAUGCUUUAUGCCCGGUCUCAGACCAGCAAGCACAAAGACCAGCCUGAAGUUCCUAGGAAUGGAAGUAGUUGUGAAGAUAAGAACCAAAAUGUGGAAAAGAAUUCUUCCAAUAUCUUACCAGGUGAAUUCUACAUCUCCCGCCACUCCAACCUGUCUGAGGUCCACAUAGUGUUCCACCUGUGUGUGGAUGACAACGUCCGCUCAGGUAACAUUACGGCCCGGGAACCUGCCAUCAUGGGCCUGCGCAACAUCCUCAAGGUCUGCUGCACGCAUGAUGUCACCAACAUCACCAUCCCUCUGCUACUGGUCCACGACAUGUCAGAGGAGAUGACUAUCCCAUGGUGCCUGAGGAGGGCUGAGCUGGUCUUCAAAUGUGUCAAAGGUUUCAUGAUGGAGAUGGCAUCGUGGGAUGGAGGGAUCUCACGGACAGUCCAGUUUCUAGUUCCACAGGACCUGAGCCCUAGGACCAUGCCCCAGGACUACCUGACAUGAUGACUCCUUGCUGUCCCCAGUCCACCUGGCCAUGCUGCUGCUCCAGUUUCAACUUCCACCUGACUGUGCUGCUGCUCCAGUUUCAACUGUUCUGCCUUAUUAUUAUUAUUAGACCAUGCUGGUCAUUUAUGAACAUUUGAACAUCUUGGCCAUGUUCUGUUAUAAUCUCCACCCGGCACAGCCAGAAGAGGACUGGCCACCCCACAUAGCCUGGUUCCUCUCUAGGUUUCUUCCUAGAGUAUCUCUGAGGAGAUGUUCUACCAGUUGAGCAACAUGCUGCCUCAGAUCUUCCGUGUCUCGUCCACCCUCACACUCACCUCCAAACGCUGACGGAGACACAGGGCCAAUCAUGGCGGCUUGGCAACUGUCAACACCAUGCUGUUUUAAGACAGAUUCUACGGCCUCUUCCUCAUCAUGCUAUAGCAAUUAGAAUUUUUGUCUUGCAGUCUGUGUUUAAGUCACAGUUGAGUCUACCAUCAUGAAAAUAAACUAACCAAAGGAGUGACUGUACUCUGAUUGUUACAGCACUCCAGUCAAAAGUAUGAGAUUCAGUGCUUUUGUAUUGCAAUGAUUUUACAAUAUAGAGAGGGGCCUCAAGAGUUUUGAUAAUUGAGUUCCCUCUAACCUAUUUAAAUAGUUGCAUUUUACAGAGGUUAGUGUGAUGGAUGACUGUCAAUUGAUUUAGCGAUGCCUGCAUAAUUGGCAUCAUCUUAGGGCAAGGUGACAUCAUCUUGGCCCAUCUUCCCAAAAAAGAUGGAUUGUGUUGUUGCCGAGGCAAGCAUUGUGUGUGUGUGUGUGUGUGUGUGUGUGUGUGUGUGUGUGUGUGUGUGUGUGUGUGUGUACUGCAUUGCAGUGAAUUAUAGUGAACUUUUUGUCAUCUCACUCCACCCCAGUAACAGCAGAGGGCACUGUUCUCAGAGAUAAAGAAGCACUCUGAUAGAUUAUGUUUAAUCUACUCCGUGCCAAAACAUUGAUUUAAACAUUUACUAUGAGACACAGAAAGUUUGUUUCUUAUGUUGUUGCAGCCUAAACUCUAGCCCAUACCCCUGAAUGUUUGCCCAACACAUUUUCAGCACUUCUCAACUCAUUUUUGAUGUGGCAUUCCAAUUGACUGAUCACAAUUUACUGUGCACUGAUCACAAUUUACUGUGCACUGAUCACAAUUUACUGUGCACUGAUCAUAAUGUCCUGUUUACACACAUCUUUACUAUAUGUUUUUAGUCGAAAUGUAUGUAAAAAGUGUUUAAACAAUGUGAAUAUAUCCUGAAUCUUCUCUUUGUGAAAUAAUGUUUCAGAUUUGACAUUUGUUCGUUUUUUUUACUGGGCCUGUAAACAUUGGUGUAUAGCCUACUUCAUAUUGCAGUUUGUGCACAAUUUAAUUUACUGUUUGAGUAGUCCACGAUCGACUAAUCUACCUGAAGCUAAUAUGACAUGGUAAUUACAUUCUUCCAUGUCUGUUUGAAGUAAGUCAUUUUAGUUGGAUGAAAUAAUUGAUGCUUGUCAGAGGUUUGCCUGCUAUGAUGAACAGCAACAGAAUUAAGAUGAUUAAACAGAUCAAGUGCACCAUCAAA